rnacentral:lncRNA from 1 species
UGCAAAUUCGAAAUGAAAGCCCGGAAACCCCGGAACUAGAACUGGUAUGGAGUCUCACUCUGUCGCCCAGGCUGGAGUGUAGUAGCGCAAUCUUGGCUCACUGCAACCUCGGACUCCCAGGUUCAAGAGAUUCUCCUGCAUCAGCCUCCCAAGUAGCUGGGACUACAGAUCUCUUCAACUACCUGUGAAAACUGAUGUGAUGAAAAGGGGAAUUUGAAGGAGCCAUUCCAGAAGACAGGGCGAAAACUGAAGUGCAAUCAGGGCCAAGAAAAACAGAAAUAGCAGGACCUGGAGUUGCAUAGGUUGAAUAGUUGAAUAGGCUGCUCUCCUCAGCUGGCAGGAAACCUGGCAGCCUCCUGGUGCCCAAGGACUGAAAACCUUAGAAGCACCUGGAGUUGGCAGCCUUGGCAUGGUCAGGUUGGCACCUCUGGAGGUGCCCAGGCUUCCCUGGCAGCAUUGUGAGCAGUGGAUGGUGUUGAAGGGCAGCCAGAGGAGGAAUGGAACACAUGCUCCUUGCUAACCACACGGACAAGGCCACGUUCACAGGUACACAAAGGCAACGCAGUUGCUCAGGUGCUUCGGUAUCACAGCCAAGACCCCUUCGGGGGAAGCUAGUCGGAUACUGGGACCCACAUUCCAGACUACUGAGCCGCGGUCGCGCCCUCGGCUCCGUUUCUGCUCCCUCCACCCCACGAGGACGGGGGUGGAAGGCCACCUUCGAUGGGUGCAUCCUCCACGAUGACCUGCUAACAAAGGUGCAUGGAUUUCAGAGUCUGAUUGGCCUACAACAGCAUUUGGCUUGUGGAGACAGUGGUUCCCUGAUGAAAAACUGCCAUGAUGGGAAUAGAAACAAUCAGAGGAAACUUCCGUGAGUUCCCAGGACACAUCCACCCACCUCCUCCACGUGUAACCACCACCUCUACCUUCCCCUCUGGUGCUGUGGAUGAGCCAUCCGUGCUCCUGGCAAAGGCCCACCUGCCACUUGGGCACAGGAACCCAUCCAUCCCUCCUUACCUCUGGUAACUCUCCCUCUCUCUCUCCUGCAUCCUUCAUAUUCUCUGGGUUGUAUUCUCUUCCAGCCCCCACCCCCUGCCCACCUCCAGCAUGUAAAAGUGCUGUUAUUGUUUCCACUUUAAAACAAACCCUAAAAAUAAGUAAAUAAAAUAAA